UCUGUGAGCAGAAACCAGACACAAAAAGCAAGACCAUAAGGAACUCAGGGCAGAAAAUUGCUAUGGGACCUAGCUGAACUGAGGGAAAGAAGAAUUUUCUUGGCCGUGUAAUGGUUCAAAGUGAGGAGCAACCAUACAGACCUGUGUUUGAAUUCCUCCUCUGCCACUUCCUAGCCAUGCAGCACUAGGCAAAUCAUUUAAACUCUCUGAACUGUUCUUCAUCUGAAAAAAUGGAGAUUCUUCUGAAUAUUUAUUAUAUGCCCACUAUGUGUCAGAUGCUGUUCUAGGUGCUGGGGGUCUACUUGUGAUUAAGAGUAUUAAGCUCGGACGGGUGCGGUGGCUCAUGCCUGUAAUCCCAGCACUUUGGGAGGCCGAGGCGGACAGAUCACGAGGUCAGGAGUUCAAGACCAGCCUGGCCAACAUAGUGAAACCGCUGUCUCUGCUAAAAAUAACAAAAAAAUUAGCAGGGCAUGGUGGCGCGUGCCUGUAGUCCCAGCUACUCAAGAGGCUGAGGCAGAAGAAUCGCUUGAACCCAGGAGGUGGAGGUUGCAGUGAUCCGAGAUCCCACCACCGCACUCCAGCUUGGGCAACAGAGUGAGACUUUGUCUCAAAAAAAAAAAAAAAAAAAAAAAAAAGACUAUUAAGCUCAUAUUCUUCUAAGGGAGAGAAGAGACAUAACAAACACAUAAACACAGGUGAUGAAUGCCACAGGGAAAACAAAACAGCGCGAUGUGACAAAGUGGGUAAGAAAGCCCACUUCAGGUGGUCAAGGCAGGCCUCCCUGUGAAGGUGACAUCAGCUAAAGGACCUGAAUGUCCUGGAGCAAGCUACGUGAAGAUUUGGGAAGAGUGUCUCAGGCAGAAAGGACUGCAAGUGCAAAAGCUCUGAGGCAGGGCUAAGCUCAGGAAAUUUCAGGAUUACAAAGACCAGUCUGGCUGGAGCUGGGUGAGAAAGGGGAGCAUGUGGUAGGGAAGGAACACAGUCCCUGCCACAUGGGGGCUGUUGGGAGGACCGGAUGAGGGAAUAUGUGCGUGAUACUUGGCAGGGUUAUAUGCUUAAUAUGUGGUAGCUGCUGUUAGUAUCUGCAACAUCCUUCCUAACGAGCAGUAGCAGCCCCAAGGACUGAUGCUGUGACAACUGGUUUCUUACACUUUGCCGAGAAACGGCUAAGACCAACUACUAGUAGUGGUAGUACUGGAUGCCUAGGGUUCCAAACCUAGUUCUGCCACUUAACAAUUCCACAAUCUUGAGCAAGUUACUCUAAGCAUCCAUUUCUUCAUUUGAAAAAAUGGAGGUAAUAGUACCACAUGGGACUUCCUUCACAGAGCUCUUGCAAAGAUGAAACACAUGUAAAACACUCAGCACAGCGGCCUGGCACGCAGUAAACAUCUGAUAAAUGUUAACUAUUAUUAUUAUUCUAAUAAAAGCACCAAGGGAGUUACCUGAAGUUGAGUCAAAUCUGACUGACUGUCCUGGAGAGGUGUGCCAGCUAUCUCUACCCAGGACCAGACGCUCUACUAAGUUCCCAGCUUACUACGGAAUGGAGGCAUCCAAGCUGGGAGGGAAGUGAAAUAACCGUCCUGGACUUGUCCAUACCUGAGAUCCCCACCUCUGCCACCAAGAGAUCAUCGCUGGAAGCCGAGUUUUCAGCAAGACGCUUGAACUCAUCCUGCUUCUCACCGUAGGGGUACUGGGUGUCGAACUUCACCAAGACGAACUUGCUUUUGGGAAUGACCUGAGGGCGUAUAGAGCUGAGCAAGUGGGUGUUCCAGGGACUUUUGGGGCUAAUUCCCCUUCCCAAGGGGCCCCUGUUUAAGAAAUAGAGUGGAAACAAGCCCACAAGGGAGGCAAGCUCUCACAAACUAAUAUUUAUUCAUUCACCCACUGACUCAUUUAACAAUUUAGUGAGUGCCAGCAACAUGCAGGGCACCCCAUUAGUACCUGUUCACACUAAUCAAAGAUAUACACAACCCUGUCCAGAAUAAACAAGGCUGCAGACAUACUAAGGCCUUCUCCUUCAGGGUUCCUUUCAGUUAGGUGAAGGAGACCCUCUGCAUACUACAUCAGCCCCUGUCAUGCUCAUCAUCCCAGGAGGCCUUUCGCAGUAAACCCUGAACAAGAAAUCUGACAAAAAUAAACAAACCUACCUACAAAGGAGUUGGCAUCAUGGAGGACGCUUUGGCUAGAUAGGCCAGAGUUUGAACCCAGCAAUUUCAGGGCAGAUAAGCUAGUGAGAGGCCAGGCUUGGGACAAUGUCUUCUCCCUAGACUACACUUCCCUCUGGCUAGAUCUCUGGGUUUUAAACUGUCAGGGCCAAGACUUUUAAUUGCAGUAAAAUUCACAUAAUAUUUGCCAUUGUAACCAUUUAAAAGUGUACAUUCUGCAUGAUUCAGUGCAUUAAGAAUGUGCAACCAUAGAGGUUACUAUCUAGUGCCAGAACAUUUUCAUCAUCCCAAAAGGAAACCCUAUACUCAUUACGCAGUCACUCCCCAGUCUUCCUCCUCCCAGCCCCAGCAACCACUCAUCUAUUUUCUGUCUCUAUAGAUUUGUCUAUUCUGAUGGAAAUGUACAAUAUGUGCCCUUUUGUGUCUGGCUUUUUUCACUUAGCAUGUUUUCAAGGUUUGUCCAUGUUGUACCAUGUAUUGGCACACUGUUACUUUUUAUGGCCAAAUAAAUAUUACACUGUACGAUA